GCAUGUUUUGACCGGCACUUCAAAAUUACUAUCAAAAUUUCUUGUGAAUUUUCAACAAGACAGGGCAGGUUAACGUGCUUUGGGCGUUGCUAAAUCAGUUCAGUUCUUGCUCGUAUCAAAACUGUGGAAAUAUUUCGCUUUUACGGUUUCUACCUGACCAGGGAGGGGUUUUAUAAUAUAUUUACGACAGCGAGCCGAACCCUUCCUGUCAAAACAGAACAUCAUAAACUGGUCAUUUACUAUCAGACUUCGCACCGACAGGGAAGUAAUAUCGCUGCAGGAAUAAACAAAUAUUCACGAGACGAGUUAAGCGAGGAACUGGAGCGACUCUAUGUGGAUCAGGAAUGGUUUGAACUAUGAUAUGUGCUCGUUUAUACAGAAUUUUGCUCGAAUAUGCUUGUAAAUAAACCUGACGAAUGGGUUCGGAUUGCUUUGCAAAGAUUUCAAGUUCAGGUAUAUAAUUUAAAUGUGAUUUAGCACCCUAAAUUUACAAAAUGAAAGUGAUAUAUAUGCUAUCAUGACCACUCAUAAUAUCGAUAAUUAUAUUCUCUACAAGAAUUACAUGAUAUACUAUGUUCGUAUCGCUAAACGUUCAGGUAUAUUUCGUGGCUAAUUUUUUUUCUAUAUACUGAUGGGAAUAUAUAAAGAUAUAGUUUAUAGUUUUCUCGACCCUCAAUGUUAAUUUUUUCGCUAAUAACCUUUUGCUAUAAGCUCUGUCAGUGAUUAACUAUGAAUGUAACAGAUUAGCUAUUAGGUAUUGAAAUCUGUCAAGUGCUGCUAUUUUAACGAAGGGGGAAAUAUUAAAGUACUGCUUUUUGAAUAUCAUGUAGGGCAGUCGGGUAACAAAGCUAAGUCUUUGUUUAUUAUUUCGGAUUUGUGGUUGUAAAUGAGCUAAUUUUGGUUAAUUGUGAAGGCUCAUGAAAUAAUCAACAUGUUUGAGAUUCUAAAUUUGUGGCUGGUUAAUAAUUAAUAGUGUGCAUUUUAUCAUGAGUCUAUUGCUCAAAAACAUUUGCAUUGUGAAUUAGUCCUGAUGCAUUAAAUACACGGAUUAGAAUUCUGGUAAUCUUAAUCAGGAUAUCCCUUAUUCUUCUGGAAUAACCAGGGAAUAGUAUCCAAGGGUCCAAGUAUAACCAUGCUCGCCCGUUAUCUUAUCAAAAGCGUCAUUAUCAACUGUUACUUAAGAGUUACUAGUGUUACUACAGGAGGAAAUUGAAGUGCCCUGAGUCUGAUGUUUGAGACAAUUGACAUAGUGCACUUAAACCACCGCCCUACAGGUUGCAAAAAUUCAACAUUUUUUUGCUUUGUACUUCACGUGUACUCAUUGAUUAUUACUAUGUACUUGAGGUGGUAAAAAUGUGAGACUCAAUGUGUACUUAGUCUUUAAGACAACAUACUCAACAUACAGUUUUUAACAUAGUGCAAGGAGUUACAAAGUAGUACAAUUUGCAUGAAAUACAAAUUGCAUACAAUUGACUCCAUUACAUUCCUUUAUAGUCUCAUUUUUUCUGAUCAGUUAAGACAUGUAGAUCAGUUUACACAUAUAGCUACGUAAUUAUGGUUUUGAAUUCCUUGAAAGGUUUGCUGGUUGUAUGAUACCGUAUUUAAUUUAAUUAUAAGUUUAAAAAGGAAAUAAAAUAUAUUAUAAUAUAUGGACAAUAAAAAAUAUGUGACUCCCACAUACAUACCUGAGUGGUACUUGGUUGGAAACAAAGAAAUACCAGACCAUAAUAUUGGCGAACCUCCAGUAUGUACGUGCAAUCAUGCCCUGCCCUACCAACAGCUCAUUGUUAACCCAUUGAGUGGCAGCACUCUACCCUUGACAAGUACAAUUGUCUGGCAUUAGACAGAGUAAAAUAAUAAAGAAGGGUGCAUCUGGGCACAUUGCCACUUGAAGGGUUAACAGGAUGCAUGGGCAGAUAGUUUAACCUGUUGCAUAGCAAUGCUCUCUCCCCUUGAUGAGUGAAAUCGUUUGGCAUUAGACAGGAUAAAAUAAUAAUGAAGGGCACAUAUAAUGGUAAUAGUAAGUUGUAUUUAAUUUGGAAGACGUUGUUUUAAACAUUUCUCAAAACUUCAUUGUCUAGCUUCCGCAUGAAAGAACACCUGAGCACAAUGAAUCAAAAGAAAGUAUCGAGAAAAUCCAGGAAACGCUCAUCACUCUUAGUGAACAGCGAUUUCCACUGGUUAUGCAAGGAUUGUCUAAACUGAUCAAGGAACCUG
rnacentral:lncRNA from 1 species